rnacentral:rRNA from 1 species
UACGAAGGGGGCUAGCGUUGCUCGGAAUCACUGGGCGUAAAGGGUGCGUAGGCGGGUCUUUAAGUCAGGGGUGAAAUCCCAGAGCUCAACUCUGGAACUGCCUUUGAUACUGGGUGUCUUGAGUGUGAGAGAGGUAUGUGGAACUCCGAGUGUAGAGGUGAAAUUCGUAGAUAUUCGGAAGAACACCAGUGGCGAAGGCGACAUACUGGCUCAUUACUGACGCUGAGGCUCGAAAGCGUGGGGAGCAAACAGG